rnacentral:misc_RNA from 1 species
GGGCAGCGACGACGUCUCAAGCAAGCCUCUUCAGUUGUUGGCUCAAGUGCAAAGCACGACUUGGCCGACGUCGGUUUCCUGUGCUGAAUUCCNAUCGAAUGGCAAUCUUUCGGCUACUAUCGUCCCGUACUCCUUCUCNCGGCGCAGCUCCGCACGGAGAUGCGGCGCGGGGAGGACAUCGAAGCCCCCGCCGUGUUUCGCAAUCCACGCACUCCUCUACGCGGGUGCUCGGGUUGCCGACCCACGACGUCGUGCUCGAUCUCUCGGAUGCGGAAAACCAAGCGGCUACGAGGCCACGGCCUCUAUCGUCAUUUAGAGAAGGGCGUUCUACGCUCCCUGCGGACGACUGCCGAUCGGGUCUUGUUCCGGAGCCCUCGUGGCUCGGAUCAUGCCCGACCGG